rnacentral:rRNA from 1 species
UUUAUUUGAGAGUUUGAUCCUGGCUCAGGAUGAACGCUGGCGGCGUGCCUAACACAUGCAAGUUGAGCGAUUUACUUCGGUAAAGAGCGGCGGACGGGUGAGUAACGCGUGGGUAACCUACCCUGUACACACGGAUAACAUACCGAAAGGUAUGCUAAUACGGGAUAAUAUAUUUGAGAGGCAUCUCUUGAAUAUCAAAGGUGAGCCAGUACAGGAUGGACCCGCGUCUGAUUAGCUAGUUGGUAAGGUAACGGCUUACCAAGGCGACGAUCAGUAGCCGACCUGAGAGGGUGAUCGGC